GAUGAAGAACGCAGCGAAAUGCGAUAAGUAGUGUGAAUUGCAGAAUUCAGUGAAUCAUCGAAUCUUUGAACGCACAUUGCGCCCUUUGGUAUUCCUUAGGGCAUGCCUGUUCGAGCGUCAUCUAAACCUUCAAGCUCAGCUUGGUGAUGGGCGACUGUCCCCCCCCCCUCGCGGGGGGGACUCGCCUCAAAAACAUUGGCGGCCGGUACAUUGGCUUCGAGCGCAGCAGAAACGCGGUCUCGAGCCCGGUGGAUCGGCUCCCAUAAGCCUAUUCUUUUAUUUUGACCUCGGAUCAGGUAGGGAUACCCGCUGAACUUAAGCAUAUCAAUAAGCGGAGGA
rnacentral:misc_RNA from 1 species